UGGGGAAUAUUGCACAAUGGGCGCAAGCCUGAUGCAGCCAUGCCGCGUGUGUGAAGAAGGCCUUCGGGUUGUAAAGCACUUUCAGCGGGGAGGAAGGCGAUAAGGUUAAUAACCUUGUCGAUUGACGUUACCCGCAGAAGAAGCACCGGCUAACUCCGGGCCAGCAGCCGCGGUAAUACGGAGGGUGCAAGCGUUAAUCGGAAUUACUGGGCGUAAAGCGCACGCAGGCGGUCUGUCAAGUCGGAUGUGAAAUCCCCGGGCUCAACCUGGGAACUGCAUUCGAAACUGGCAGGCUAGAGUCUUGUAGAGGGGGGUAGAAUUCCAGGUGUAGCGGUGAAAUGCGUAGAGAUCUGGAGGAAUACCGGUGGCGAAGGCGGCCCCCUGGACAAAGACUGACGCUCAGGUGCGAAAGCGUGGGGAGCAAACAGG
rnacentral:rRNA from 1 species